AGCAGUAGCCGCGGUAAUACAGAGGGUGCGAGCGUUAAUCGGAUUUACUGGGCGUAAAGCGUGCGUAGGCGGCUUUUUAAGUCGGAUGUGAAAUCCCUGAGCUUAACUUAGGAAUUGCAUUCGAUACUGGGAAGCUAGAGUAUGGGAGAGGAUGGUAGAAUUCCAGGUGUAGCGGUGAAAUGCGUAGAGAUCUGGAGGAAUACCGAUGGCGAAGGCAGCCAUCUGGCCUAAUACUGACGCUGUGGUACGAAAGCAUGGGGAGCAAACAGGAUUAGAUACCCCCGUAGUCCCUGUCUCUUAUAC
rnacentral:rRNA from 1 species